GUCACUUUGGCGGAGUGGUUAACGCGCUGCCCUGCUAAUGACACAGUUAGUGUAAGGCAGUUCCCUCGGGAGCGUAGGUUCGAAUCCUACAGGUGACG
rnacentral:tRNA from 1 species